GACGAACGCUGGCGGCGUGCUUAACACAUGCAAGUCGAACGGAAAGGCCCUGCUUUUUUGGGGUGCUCGAGUGGCGAACGGGUGAGUAACACGUGAGUAACCUGCCCUUGACUUUGGGAUAACUUCAGGAAACUGGGGCUAAUACCGGCUAGGAGCUCCUGCUGCAUGGUGGGGGUUGGACAGUUUCGGCGGUUGGGGAUGGACUCGCGGCUUAUCAGCUUGUUGGUGGGGUAGUGGCUUACCAAGGCUUUGACGGGUAGCCGGCCUGAGAGGGUGACCGGCCACAUUGGGACUGAGGUACGGCCCAGACUCCUACGGGAGGCAGCAGUGGGGAAUAUUGCACAAUGGGCGGAAGCCUGAUGCAGCAACGCCGCGUGCGGGAUGACGGCCUUCGGGUUGUAAACCGCUUUCGCCUGUGACGAAGCGUGAGUGACGGUAAUGGGUAAAGAAGCACCGGCUAACUACGUG
rnacentral:rRNA from 1 species